rnacentral:tRNA from 1 species
CUCCCGUGGCGAAAUUGGUAAACGCUUCCGUUUGAGGGACGGAAUUGUUGCAGGUUCAAAUCCUGUCGGGAGACCA